UGGGCCGUCGCCAAGCGGUAAGGCAUCGGAUUUUGAUUCCGACACUCCCAGGUUCGAAUCCUGGCGGCCCAGCCA
rnacentral:tRNA from 1 species